rnacentral:rRNA from 1 species
AAUAUUGCACAAUGGGGGAAACCCUGAUGCAGCGACGCCGCGUGAGCGAAGAAGGCCUUCGGGUCGUAAAGCUCUGUCCUAAGGGAAGAAACGGACGGUACCUUAGGAGGAAGCCCCGGCUAACUACGUGCCAGCAGCCGCGGUAAUACGUAGGGGGCAAGCGUUGUCCGGAAUUAUUGGGCGUAAAGGGUGCGUAGGCGGCCUUUUAAGUCAGAUGUGAAAGCCCACGGCUUAACCGUGGGACUGCAUUUGAAACUGGAGGGCUUGAGUAUCGGAGAGGGUAGUGGAAUUCCCAGUGUAGCGGUGAAAUGCGUAGAUAUAGGAAGGAACACCAGUGGCGAAGGCGACUUUCUGGACUGUAACUGACGCUGAGGUACGAAAGCGUGGGUAGCGAACA